rnacentral:rRNA from 1 species
GACGUAGGAUGCGAGCGUUGUCCGGAUUUAUUGGGCGUAAAGAGUUCGUAGGUGGUUCGUUAAGUCUGGUGUAAAAGACUGGGGCUCAACCCUGGGAUCGCACUGGAUACUGGCGGACUGGAGUGUGGUAGAGGCAAGCGGAAUUCCCAGUGUAGCGGUGAAAUGCGUAGAUAUUGGGAAGAACACCGGUGGCGCAAGCGGCUUGCUGGGCCAUAACUGACACUGAGGAACGAAAGCUAGGGGAGCGAAUGGG